ensembl:lncRNA
CGGCGGGGAAGGUAACACGGAGAGGCAGGUAGGAGCAGGCCUGUGUCGGGCAGGUGAAAGGCUGGGUUAGGGUGAUCUCACAGCCCUUGGCUGGGCAGCAGCUCUCGAAAUACAAACAUCCCUUUGGGUUUUCAAGGCAGAUGCUCUUGGUCCAGCGUGGGCAGGCAGGUGCCUCAGGGAUUCAUUUCCUCAUUUUAAAUGGGCUGAUUUAUCUUCUUCUUUUUUUUUUUUUUUUUAAUUUUAUUUUACUAGUGGGGAAAUUGAGGCACUGAGAUGUUAAGCGGCUUGCCCAGGACCUCUUGCCUGAUAUGCAUGUUCCUGGUUAUGCAUGCUUGAAUGCAUGUUCCUGGCUGGACCACAUCCCGAGCUGCCUUGGAUGAACCGGGGGCCCCGUGCAUGCUGGUCAGUGUGUUCUGAAAGAGGCCUCCCUUGCAUGGCCCCUCAGCCAGUGGCCGGCUGGCCAUCAUCUCAGAGGGGACUUUUACAGAGCCAGUCCUUGCUGGGGGUGGUCAAGGAAGCCCCAGAUGGUGGAGACAGAGCUGGGAAAGCUUGUUCAUCUCUGAGUGCCAGCACCUGGGUCUAGCAAGGCUGUUGGAGAGGCACUCGACAGACAGGCCUCCAGAAGAUUAAUUAAUGCCAAGCUGCUGGCAGCUCCAGCAGGAUGCUUGCCCCAGGGUCCUGUCCUGGCAGCACAGAUGCCCAGCUGACCCCAGCGUGCUACCACAUUCUCAUCCAGAGACGCAGGGGGCCAUGUU